CAAGGAGGGUGUAGACAUUACAGCUACAGCUUUGUGUAUUACCCUUGCCCUUCUGGUGGUGAGGGGGUGAUAAAUGGCACAGACAUCACUAGAGAGAGGGGACUGGAGGAGAUCGGCUGUGUUGAUGAUGGCAAAGUGUAGGAAGGAUCGAAGAGGUAACAGUUGUACAUUAAUUUUGUUGUGCUACUUUGGGCGUCUGCCUCCAAUUUGCCUUUUUUUUGAGACUGUUACUGUGUCACCCAGGCUGGUGUGCAGUAGUGCAGUCUAGGCUCCACGUAACCUUAGCCUGUUGGGCUUAAGUGAUCCUCCUGCCUUAGCCUCCUGAGUAGUUGGAAUCACAGGCGCACACUACUACACCUGGCUAAUUAUUUGUGGAGGCGGAGUUUCUCUGUGUUGCCCAGGCUGGUCUUAAACUCCUGGACUCAAGUGAUCCUCCCACCUCCGCCUCCCAAAGUGCUGUGAUUACAAGUGUGAGCCAAUACACAUUUUCUGGUCUCCAGUUUACAUUGUAAUUGCUACUCUAAAUGGAAAAAGUAUGCUGAAGAGCCUAGACACUAUACCUCCACUAGAAAUCCUAAGGAGAGAGAGCGGCUGAAAACCUAGCGAAGGUUGGCUCACUGGUGCCAGCCGCAGGAUGUCGGAGAUGCUGAACAUCAUGUCAAGUGUGGGGAUCUCAGGAACGCAGGCCUGCAGAGCCAGGCUGAUGGCUGACCAACUCCUGACCCAGAAUCCAAUACUAAAGCAAAUAGUCUUGUAGGAAUGCUGCCUGUGGUCUCCUUGGGAAGGAAAAGCAGGCAAGAACAAAGCAGGGGAUCCCCUGUGGCAGCUGAGCUCUCCCUUGCCUUUCUUACCGGGAGGGCACUCCCACAGCUUCCCAGCUGGAGUGCUGCAGCCAGCUGGCCUGCAGACAGCAAACCAAGUCCCAGGGCUGCUGAGGGUGGUGUUUGGCUAGCACGAGCUCCUGCAUGCCACCCAUGCAGAACAUUUGGGAAGUACUGUCCUGACAGCAGAGCAAGAGGCCAGGCUUUGUUCCACAGUGAUCCUGGGGGUCUGGCGAGGACUAGGGCUGUGAGCAGGGGUUCUCAUGGCCAGGUGGGUCAGGAGCCACCCUGCAUAGGGUUAUGCCUCCCGUGAGCACUUCUACACUCUGUCUAGGCCCUGGUGAUGUCCACAGACCAAAAGCCACAUUCAGUUAGGAUUCCCUAAGGGAUCAAAUCCAUUCUCUCGGCUCUGCUGUUCAAGGACUUGAGCCUUCUAUUGUAAAACAUAAACCAUGUUAUCCAAACCUUUUGCAGGUAAUAUCUUGUUGCUGGAAGGCCGAGAGAAUUCUGAAAAACAGAAACUGAUGCUCAUUGAUUUCGAAUACAGCAGUUACAAUUACAGGGGAUUCGACAUUGGAAAUCACUUCUGUGAGUGGAUGUAUGAUUAUAGCUAUGAAAAAUACCCUUUUUUCAGAGCAAACAUCCGGAAGUAUCCCACCAAGAAACAACAGCUCCAUUUUAUUUCCAGUUACUUGCCUGCAUUCCAAAAUGACUUUGAAAACCUCAGUACUGAAGAAAAAUCCAUUAUAAAAGAAGAAAUGUUGCUUGAAGUUAAUAGGUUUGCCCUUGCAUCUCAUUUCCUCUGGGGACUGUGGUCCAUUGUACAAGCCAAGAUUUCAUCUAUUGAAUUUGGGUACAUGUACCUGAAUGUGGUGACCUGGUGGCAUCAGGACAGUGUGGCUCAGCCCAGGAAGCCGGGGGAGAAGCCGCUGUCACUGAUGCUGUGGUUGCCUUUGGAGGUUGCCCUCACUUCCAGGCCAGCUGACCUUGCCUCCCCUGCUUCAGAGAAGUGCCUGCAAUCCUGAUGGGGAAUGUAGGCAUCUGCACCCUCGAAGUCCAGCUCUGACCUCAGUCCCUUCUGACACGGGACAGUAAGUGAAGAAGAGUGGGUGGCUCCUGCCUGUGCUGUGGAAGGUUUUAUUUAUCGGUUACCACUUCAUUCUCCAGCCUGUAGUGCCCGACUUUGGGUUGGAAGCUGGUAAUUAUUGAAUUAGACCUCCUGUUUUUCAUAGGCAUGUUUGUAACCAAGCUAGGCUGUCAUUUAAUUUUAACCUUAAGAAUUGUCAGCCGGGUACGGUGGCUCACGCCUGUAAUCCCAGCACUUCGGGAGGCUGAGG
rnacentral:lncRNA from 1 species